rnacentral:rRNA from 1 species
CCUACGGGAGGCAGCAGUGGGGGAUAUUGCACAAUGGGGGGAACCCUGAUGCAGCGACGCCGCGUGGGUGAAGAAGCGCCUCGGCGCGUAAAGCCCUGUCAGCAGGGAAGAAAAUGACGGUACCUGAAGAAGAAGCCCCGGCUAAAUACGUGCCAGCAGCCGCGGGAAUACGGAGGGGGCAAGCGUUAUCCGGAUUUACUGGGUGUAAAGGGGGCGCAGACGGGGUUGCAAGCCAGGAGUGAAAGCCCGGGGCCCAACCGCGGGACUGCUCUUGGAACUGCGUGGCUGGAGUGCAGGAGGGGCAGGCGGAAUUCCUGGUGUAGCGGUGAAAUGCGUAGAUAUCAGGAGGAACACCGGUGGCGAAGGCGGCCUGCUGGACUGCAACUGACGUUGAGGCCCGAAAGCGUGGGGAGCAAACAGGAUUAGAUACCCCAGUAGUC